GGCGUAUUUCCAGGUAUUACCCCAGCCAUGAAGCCCUCUGAAUACGAGGGUGUGCCUAUCCCAGCGGCCCUGAAAAGGCCGGCGUCGGCGGUUCGAUCCCGUCUCUGGCCACCA
rnacentral:tRNA from 1 species